UUAGACGGGACCCGCACAAGCGGUGGAGCAUGUGGUUUAAUUCGACGCAACGCGAAGAACCUUACCUGGGCUUGACAUCCCGAUCGUACCUGCUGGAAACAGCGGGGUCAGUUCGGCUGGAUCGGAGACAGGUGCUGCAUGGCUGUCGUCAGCUCGUGUCGUGAGAUGUUGGGUUAAGUCCCGCAACGAGCGCAACCCUUGUCCUUAGUUGCCAUCAUUUAGUUGGGCACUCUAAGGAGACUGCCGGUGUUAAACCGGAGGAAGGUGGGAUGACGUCAAGUCCUCAUGGCCCUUAUGUCCAGGGCUACACACGUGCUACAAUGGCCGGUACAAAGGGCAGCAAAGCCGCGAGGUGGAGCCAAUCCCAGAAAGCCGGUCUCAGUUCGGAUUGGAGUCUGCAACUCGCCUGCAUGAAGGCGGAAUCGCUAGUAAUCGCAGGUCAGCAUACUGCGGUGAAUACGUUCCCGGGCCUU
rnacentral:rRNA from 1 species